rnacentral:rRNA from 1 species
AAGUGAGAAUGCCGGUGUGAGUAGCGAAAGACGGGUGAGAAUCCCGUCCACCGAUUGACUAAGGUUUCCAGAGGAAGGCUCGUCCGCUCUGGGUUAGUCGGGUCCUAAGCUGAGGCCGACAGGCGUAGGCGAUGGAUAACAGGUUGAUAUUCCUGUACCACCUAUAAUCGUUUUAAUCGAUGGGGGGACGCAGUAGGAUAGGCGAAGCGUGCGAUUGGAUUGCACGUCUAAGCAGUAAGGCUGAGUAUUAGGCAAAUCCGGUACUCGUUAAGGCUGAGCUGUGAUGGGGAGAAGACAUUGUGUCUUCGAGUCGUUGAUUUCACACUGCCGAGAAAAGCCUCUAGAUAGAAAAUAGGUGCCCGUACCGCAAACCGACACAGGUAGUCAAGAUGAGAAUUCUAAGGUGAGCGAGCGAACUCUCGUUAAGGAACUCGGCAAAAUGACCCCGUAACUUCGGGAGAAGGGGUGCUCUUUAGGGUUAACGCCCAGAAGAGCCGCAGUGAAUAGGCCCAAGCGACUGUUUAUCAAAAACACAGGUCUCUGCUAAACCGUAAGGUGAUGUAUAGGGGCUGACGCCUGCCCGGUGCUGGAAGGUUAAGAGGAGUGGUUAGCUUCUGCGAAGCUACGAAUCGAAGCCCCAGUAAACGGCGGCCGUAACUAUAACGGUCCUAAGGUAGCGAAAUUCCUUGUCGGGUAAGUUCCGACCCGCACGAAAGGCGUAACGAUUUGGGCACUGUCUCAACGAGAGACUCGGUGAAAUCAUAGUACCUGUGAAGAUGCAGGUUACCCGCGACAGGACGGAAAGACCCCGUGGAGCUUUACUGUAGCCUGAUAUUGAAAUUCGGCACAGCUUGUACAGGAUAGGUAGGAGCCUUUGAAACGUGAGCGCUAGCUUACGUGGAGGCGCUGGUGGGAUACUACCCUAGCUGUGUUGGCUUUCUAACCCGCACCACUUAUCGUGGUGGGAGACAGUGUCAGGCGGGCAGUUUGACUGGGGCGGUCGCCUCCUAAAAGGUAACGGAGGCGCUCAAAGGUUCCCUCAGAAUGGUUGGAAAUCAUUCAUAGAGUGUAAAGGCAUAAGGGAGCUUGACUGCGAGACCUACAAGUCGAGCAGGGUCGAAAGACGGACUUAGUGAUCCGGUGGUUCCGCAUGGAAGGGCCAUCGCUCAACGGAUAAAAGCUACCCCGGGGAUAACAGGCUUAUCUCCCCCAAGAGUUCACAUCGACGGGGAGGUUUGGCACCUCGAUGUCGGCUCAUCGCAUCCUGGGGCUGUAGUCGGUCCCAAGGGUUGGGCUGUUCGCCCAUUAAAGCGGUACGCGAGCUGGGUUCAGAACGUCGUGAGACAGUUCGGUCCCUAUCCGUCGUGGGCGUAGGAAAUUUGAGAGGAGCUGUCCUUAGUACGAGAGGACCGGGAUGGACAUACCUCUGGUGUACCAGUUGUCGUGCCAACGGCAUAGCUGGGUAGCUAUGUGUGGACGGGAUAAGUGCUGAAAG